AGAGUUUGAUUCUGGCUCAGGAUGAACGCUAGCGACAGGCUUAACACAUGCAAGUCGAGGGGCAGCACGGGAGUAGCAAUACUUGGUGGCGACCGGCGCACGGGUGAGUAACGCGUAUGCAACCUACCUAUCAGAGGGGAAUAACCCGGCGAAAGUCGGACUAAUACCGCAUAAAACAGGGGCACCGCAUGGUGAUAUUUGUUAAAGAAAUUCGCUGAUAGAUGGGCAUGCGUUCCAUUAGGUAGUUGGUGAGGUAACGGCUCACCAAGCCGACGAUGGAUAGGGGAACUGAGAGGUUGGUCCCCCACACUGGUACUGAGACACGGACCAGACUCCUACGGGAGGCAGCAGUGAGGAAUAUUGGUCAAUGGGCGGGAGCCUGAACCAGCCAAGUCGCCGUGAAGGAAGAAGGAUCUAUGGUUCGUAAACUUCUUUUGCAGGGGAAUAAAGUGCAGGACGUGUCCUGUUUUGUAUGUACCCUGAGAAUAAGGAUCGGCUAACUCCGUGCCAGCCGCGGC
rnacentral:rRNA from 1 species